rnacentral:misc_RNA from 1 species
UACGUAGGGUGCGAGCGUUGUCCGGAAUUACUGGGCGUAAAGAGCUCGUAGGUGGUUUGUCGCGUUGUUCGUGAAAACCUAAGGCUUAACCUUGGGCGUGCGGGCGAUACGGGCAGACUGGAGUACUGCAGGGGAGACUGGAAUUCCUGGUGUAGCGGUGGAAUGCGCAGAUAUCAGGAGGAACACCGGUGGCGAAGGCGGGUCUCUGGGCAGUAACUGACGCUGAGGAGCGAAAGCGUGGGGAGCGAACAGG